GAGCGAUCAAGAGAGACCUCUUUGAAUGGCUUUGCGCGCCGAGCUUCCUCUUCGGAUAGAUUCGUAGGCCGCU